AACGCACAUUGCGCCCUCUGGUAUUCCGGGGGGCAUGCCUGUUCGAGCGUCACUUCAACCCUCAAGCUCAGCUUGGUAUUAGGCGGCUGCUCCCUGCGAGCACCUCUGAAAAUUAGCGGCAGUUUGAUCAGACCUUGAGCGCAAUAGCUUUAUUCUCGCUGGAAAGUUCUGAUCGGGCUUGCCGAACAACCCCAAAUUUUUCAAUGGUUGACCUCGGAUCAGGUAGGGAUACCCGCUGAACUUAA
rnacentral:misc_RNA from 1 species